GGUGGCGGCGGCGGCGACGGUGGCGGCGGGCGGGGGCGCCGGGCUCGAGGCGGCGGCGGCGGCGUCGGGGAGCGGCGCGGGGCGGGGGUGGCGGCGUCGGCGGCGGCGAGCGCGGUCGGCGGCGGUGGCGGCCGCGGUGGCGGUGGCGUCGGAGGGGGCGGCCCCGCGUCCGGGUCACGUGGUACGAGGCGGGCAGCCAUCUUGCUACAAACACAAACAGAGAGGAGCGGCCGCCGCGGGAGCGCCAGCGCCCCCCCCACCCCGUGUCCCCUGCCGCCGCCGCCGCCGCCGCCGUCCCGGCCCUCCGCGCCACCCGCCCGUCACCGCCGCCGCCGCCGCGCCCGGGUCCUCAACGCCCCGGGGGACCGGGCCCCUCGCGCUCCCCGAUUCCUGGCAUCCUGCAGCGGAUGGGGACUGGAGAGGCACACUGGUCCAACCUCCUGCUCAGCCUGUGAUAAAAACCCACGUAUUCCCCCGGACACUGCCUGUCCUUCCUCCUCU
rnacentral:lncRNA from 1 species